UACGAAGGGUGCAAACGUUGCUCGGAAUUAUUGGGCGUAAAGCGCACGUAGGCGGCCGAAUAAGUCGGGUGUGAAAGCCCUGGGCUCAACCCAGGAAGUGCACUCGAAACUGCUCGGCUUGAGUAUGGAAGAGGGUUGCGGAAUUCCCGGUGUAGAGGUGAAAUUCGUAGAUAUUGGGAGGAACACCAGUGGCGAAGGCGGCAACCUGGGGCCAAUACUGACGCUGAGGUGCGAAAGCGUGGGGGAGCAAACAGG
rnacentral:rRNA from 1 species